ACCAAUACUGAUUCAAUUUCUUGUUUGGUCAAGUCAUUGCCUUUCACGCCGGUUGUAAAUGCAGUCACGUGGUCACGUGGGUCUGUAGUACCAUCAUAUUUCGGGAUGUCAGGCAUUUUGAAUUUUUUCGGAAUUGGAAGGGGAGCAGCACUAGGCUUCCAUGGUUGUUGUGAGUAUUUGUCCAUGUCUACUCCUUUUAUUACAGGUGGAACUCCAGGGAUUUGCUCUAUUCGCUCAUUUUGUUCCUUCAACUAUUUCUGCAAGGUUAGUACUAAAUUUUGCAAAUAUGAAUUAUUUAAAUUACCUGGUCCUCCUUCUUGUGGUUCACUGGGGGUUGCUCCGUUUCCAGAAUUAUCAAGACCAGAAUGAGGGUUCUCCAAUGUAUUAUUAUUAGGAGUCGGUGUAGGUGGUGCAGCAGGCAAUCGACUAACAAGUGCCUGAAGAGCUUUGCCGACUUGUGCAUCGAUUAGCUUUUGCAAAGCUUCAGUUGUAACUCCUUCAAAAUGUUCAGAUUGUUCUUGUUGAUCAGCAUGGGAUUCAGUAACAGGAGUGCCUUCACGAGAUUGACGUGGUGAAUUUAAAGGAGAGGGAACCAUGGUAUCUUGA
rnacentral:lncRNA from 1 species